GCACCAAUAAGUAAAAAAGUAAAAAAAUUAUCGAUAAUGCACAUGGUAAAACCAUAUUAGCAAUUAACACAAUCUCCCAUGAUAAAUAGGAAGCCAUGGGCUACUCAGAGAGCAGAAUUAAAUUGUAAUAACUAUAAUAAGAAUGAGAAAAUUUUUUCUUUUAGCUUGCUAAGAUAAAUUAAAUUGCAUUUGUCCACUCUAAAUAGUACCUGAAACAUAUUUCUUCCAUAAAAAAAUGGAGACGCCUCUAUAAUGAAUUAUAUUAAAGGAGAAAUAUCAUAGUGCCAUCAUGUUAAAUAAUUUUCAAUGCAUUAAUUGGCGCAGUUAUUAACUGCUCAAAGUAUAAUGGACUGAUCCAUUUCUCAGGGAGGGCUGAAGCUGAUGCAACGUAGAAAAUAAGCAAACUGAAACUCAUCAACAGGCUUCCAGCCAGUUAAAGAUACAGAAUCAAAGUUCUUCACAUCUCUAUCUGAGGCAGAAACCAUGAAGUACAAGUAACAAGCAUCAGAGCUUUCAUUCAGAAUCAAAUUUUUUUCUUCAACUCCUGCCAUACUUCAGGGCCUCUAGGAUGAACUUCCACAUACCUCUUGACAAAUAUUUUAUCUGAGCACCCAAUUACAGUGCUCAAGGAAAGCGUUGGGUCAACUUUUCCUUGAUCUUUGAGCCAAUUGUACAUUGCUAACUUAAGCUUGAUAGUUGGUAUUGUGUAGCAAAGAAAUGCAGGAAAUAUGACUAAUGAUGAUAUGGGAUAACCCAAAUCAUUCACAAUACAAUCAAUCUUCAUUUUGAUUACCUCUUUUUUCUGAUUAAGAAUUUGAGGGCAUAUUUUAAUCAUUUCACAAACAUCCUUCCUAUCCAAACCAGCUCGCAUGAUACAAUCAAAUCUCUCUUGGAGCUCUGCUCCUCGGCCUCGGAAAACCUUGAGUGCUUUUUCCAUUUCCUUCGAGUUCUCUUCAAAUCCCAAGUCCAGUAAGAACUUAGUCUUCAGCGUUUUUGAUCGUAGCCUCUCUUGUGAUUUUGGCAAUGGUCCAACUUUUGAUCCCAAUACCCAGUUCUUCAUUUCUUGCGGGUUCUGCAGGAUGAUAUCGCAAAGUCGCUUCUUUCCAACAUUCAGAGAAGUAAGCAAGCUAUUGGUUUUCUUUAAUGUACAUGAACCCAGAAAAAGGGAGUGAGAGCGGAUAAUCUUCCCAAUCUCCACUAUGUCCAUCUCAAUCUCAGUCAGGAACAGAUAGCAUUGCCUCAAAUUCAUAAGAAACUUCCCAACUUGCAUUUGUGGAAACUGUCGAAACAGAGAACAUAUCUGUUUCAUUGAGGAUCCAAAUUUAAAUAAAAACCCAACUAGUGAUAAUGUCCUAUCCCCUGAACCCUCAAAAAGAAUCCCUGGAUGUUUGCUUAUCAGAACACCCAACUGUUCAUAACUGUAACCUGUCUUGCUUACUAAAUAUAGAAUUGCAUGCAAAUGGCUCCAGUUAUAAGAAAUAUUUUCAGAUAACUGCUCCUCAAUCCAACCAAAUUCAAUUGACCCUUCCCUCAAUAUCUGCAAUGACUUAAUAAAGUCUGUAUUCACAUCCCCGAUCAAAAGGGAGGGGAAAUAAACAACCAUUUUAGUCAUAAAAGACUGGUUAAGCCCCAGUUCUUCAUAAGCUUUUAGUUUCAUUGCUAAAACCCCAUAAUCAUAACAAAAAAGUUCUCCUGCUUCCUUGUAAACCUUUCCUAUCUUAUUUCUUGGAAUCCCAUAGUUACACAAAAUAUGAUAAUUCUCUAGCAGCAAAUCAUCAUCACUCAAAAACAUCAAAUCACGCUGAAGAAAAUGCUUAUACUCAUGCGGUCUUAAACCUGAACUUUCAAAGAAAGGCUCAAAUUCAUUAAUAGGAUGAUAACGCAAGAAACGAGUGACAGACCGCCCAAUAUCUGCCUCAGUAUCAACCUUUUGUAAUAGCUUUUUGAGAAAAUUUGGUGAGUUUCUACUCAUAUGCUCAGCAUCCAAAAACUGUAAGUUUCUAGUGGAAUGCAAGUACUCAAACAGUGCAGCCUGGGCUUUUUUCCUAGUGACAUCAGAGAUUUUUCGACCAUCUAUCAAAGUUUCACCCAAAUUAUCAGCAUUUUCAGUAAGAACAUCUCUUUUCCUCCUAUAAAACCUAGGGUUACUUGAAAUGGAGAAUAACGACCCUCCAGACCAUAACAUGAUGUUGUAGCUAUCAGCAGAAUUCAAAGAAACCCAAUUGAGAAUAGGAGUUUUUCUAAGUUUAUGUAGAUGGGUCAUUGUUAGCCUGAUAUUGCACGUUAAAGAAUUACAGAAAUUUUAUCCCGAUAGGCAAAAAGAUAUAAACUCGAUAGAAAUGAAUAUGAAAGGUUUCUGGUAAAGUUUCUUACCUUCGAUUCUUCGAUGGGUUAGCUAAGUUUAGUGUCUGCUCAUGGAGGUUUGGAGAUUCAGUUGCAGAGUCUCUUCCCCUUCUGCUCAGAGAGAGUAGACCUAAGGGUAUGUUUCAG
rnacentral:misc_RNA from 1 species